rnacentral:misc_RNA from 1 species
GUUUGUUAGUGGAAAGAGGCUAUUUGCAGGUGAUUCAGUUCUAUUUAUCAGAGAUGAAAAGCAGCAACUUCUCUUGGGGAUCAGGCGAGCAAAUAAACAACCUGCUAAUUUAUCAUCAUCAGUGUUGUCAAGUGAUAGCAUGCACAUUGGGAUCCUAGCUGCCGCAGCCCAUGCAGCAGCAAAUAAUAGUCCCUUCACAGUGUUUUAUAAUCCAAGGGCUAGUCCAUCAGAAUUUGUUAUUCCUUUGGCCAAAUAUUACAAGGCAGGGUACAGUAACCAAAUAUCACUUGGCAUGCGCUUUCGGAUGAUGUUUGAAACUGAAGAAUCAGGAACAAGAAGGUAUAUGGGUACAAUUACAGGAAUUAGUGAUAUUGAUCCUGUACGGUGGAAGAAUUCACAAUGGCGUAAUUUACAGGUUGGAUGGGAUGAGUCAACUGCUGGGGAAAGACGCAAUAGAGUCUCAAUCUGGGAGAUUGAACCAGUGACUGCUCCAUUUUUCAUAUGCCCACCACCAUUCUUUAGAUCUAAGCGUCCAAGGCAACCUGGAAUGCCAGAUGAUGAUUCCCCUGAUUUAGAUAACUUAUUUAAGAAGUCAAUGCCUUGGCUUGGCGACGAUUUUUACAUGAAAGAUCCCCAGUCUGUACCUGGCCUGAGCUUACUGCAGUGUAUUAACAUGCAGCAAAACCCUUCCCUUGCUAAUGCAAUGCCGCCCAACUACAUGCAAUCUUUGUCAGGAUCUGUUCUGCAGAACCUUACCGGGCCUGAUCUUUCACAUCAGUUGGGCUUGUCAGCACCACAGUUACCUCAGCCAAACAACUUACAGUUUAAUUCCCAACGGCUGCCCCUGCAAUCACAACAAUUUGACCAGCUUCCAAAGAUGCAAUCUUCACUGAAUUCACUAGGUUCCAUCAUACAGUCGCAGCAACAAUUAGGUGAUAUCACUCAACAAUCAAAGCAAAAUUUGGUAACUCAAACUAUAACAUCAAGUCAAGUUCAAGCCCAAAUUCUGCAGCCUCAAACUCUAGUUCAAAAUACUAACAUUCUUCAGCAACAGCCAUCUCU